rnacentral:piRNA from 1 species
UUAAACAUUUUAAUGGAAUUC